AUGUGAGUGCUUAGAAUCAAUCAAGCCCAGGUCACUUCAAGAACAAGCACCCCUAAAGCCGUUUCUCCAGCCUCAACACAUUUACUCUUCAGAGAAGAUCCCCAGGUUUCCCUGGAAAUCCAACUUCACCAUGCAAACAAUAUGAGCACACAUGGCUUCCAAAUUUUUUUCUCAAGUUCAACUUUUAUUGUCUUUUGUUAAGUAGCUGAUUUCAUGCGGAAUUAGGAAAGAUGUGAACAGCUUUUGCUUCUGGUCCUACCAGCACCCACUUCUACCACCACCUGCUUCUACCACCACCCACUUCUACCACCACCCGCUUCUACCACCUUCUUCUACUUCCACCUGCUCCUACUACCACCUGCUUCUACACCUCCUUUGCCUUGAUGGACUAUUCUUCUGGAAAGAUAAGCCAAAAUAAACUCUCUUCUGAUGUGACUGACUCAGCUGCUCUUCCAGGG